rnacentral:rRNA from 1 species
GAUGAACGCUGGCGGCGUGCCUAAUACAUGCCAGUCGAGCGAACAGACGAGGAGCUUGCUACUCUGACGUUAGCGGCGGACGGGUGAGUAACACGUGGAUAACCUACCUAUAAGACUGGGAUAACUUCGGGAAACCGGAGCUAAUACCGGAUAAUAUCUUGAACCGCAUGGUUCAAAAGUGAAAGACGGUUUUGCUGUCACUUAUAGAUGGAUCCGCGCUGCAUUAGCUAGUUGGUAAGGUAACGGCUUACCAAGGCAACGAUGCAUAGCCGAGCUGAGAGGGUGAUCGGCCACACUGGAACUGAGACACGGUCCAGACUCCUACGGGAGGCAGCAGUAGGGAAUCUUCCGCAAUGGGCGAAAGCCUGACGGAGCAACGCCGCGUGAGUGAUGAAGGUCUUCGGAUCGUAAAACUCUGUUAUUAGGGAAGAACAGAUGUGUAAGUAACUGUGCACAGCUUGACGGUACCUAAUCAGAAAGCCACGGCUAACUACGUG